rnacentral:rRNA from 1 species
UGAGUACGAGAUGCUACGGCAUCGAAGCAGUCUAUGUCAUACUCCCAAGAAAAGCUUGCACUGUCAGAAACAGAUAAUGCCUGUACCAUAACCGACACAGGUGGGUAGGUAGAGUAUACUAAGGGGCGCGAGAUAACUCUCUCUAAGGAACUCGGCAAAAUGACUCCGUAACUUCGGGAGAAGGAGUGCCUUAUUUUUAAGGUUGCAAUAACAAGAUCCAAGCAACUGUUUACCAAAACACGGGUCUCCGCUAAGUCGUAAGACGAUGUAUGGGGGCUGACGCCUGCCCAGUGCCAGAAGGUUAAAGAAGUCGGUUAGCAUUCGCGAAGCUGGUAACUGAAGCCCUGGUGAACGGCGGCCGUAACUAUAACGGUCCUAAGGUAGCGAAAUUCCUUGUCGGGUAAGUUCCGACCCGCACGAAAGGCGUAAUGAUUUGGAUACUGUCUCGGAGAGGGGCUCGGCGAAAUAGACUUGUCUGUGAAGAUGCGGACUACCUGCACCUGGACAGAAAGACCCUAUGAAGCUUUACUGUAACUUGAAAUUGAAAUUGGACUUUAUUUGCGCAGUAUAGGUGGGAGGCGUUGAAAAUAUUCUUGCGGGAAUAUUGGAGCCAUCAGUGAGAUACCACUCUUGUAAUGUUAGAUUUCUAACUUUAUAUCAUUAUCUGGUUAAAGAACAGUUUCAGGCGGGCAGUUUGACUGGGGCGGUCGCCUCCCAAAUGGUAACGGAGGCGCACAAAGGUUUCCUCUGAACGGGUAGAAAUCGUAUCUAGAGUGUAAAGGCAUAAGGAAGCUUGACUGUGAGACCUACAAGUCGAGCAGGGACGAAAGUCGGUCUUAGUGAUCUGACGGUGCUGAGUGGAAAGGCCGUCACUCAACGGAUAAAAGUUACUCUAGGAUAACAGGCUGAUCUCCCCCAAGAGUUCACAUCGACGGGGAGGUUUGGCACCUCGAUGUCGGCUCAUCGCAUCCUGGGGCGGUAGUACGUCCCAAGGGUUGGGCUGUUCGCCCAUGAAAGCGGUACGCGAGCUGGGUUCAGAACGUCGUGAGACAGUUCGGUCCAUAUCCGGUGUAGGCGUUAGAAUAUUGAGAGGAGCCUUCUUUAGUACGAGAGGACCGAGAAGGACAUACCUCUGGUGUACCAGUUAUCGUGCCGACGGUAAACGCUGGGUAGCUAUGUAUGGAGUGGAUAACCGCUGAAAGCAUCUAAGUGGGAAGCCCACCUCAAGAUAAGUAUUCUC